rnacentral:rRNA from 1 species
UCUAACGGAUAUGUUAUUAUAAAAACUCUAAAGUUAAGCGUGUUUAGACAAGGGAAAUUCUAGGAUGGGCGACCUCCUGGGAAGUUAGGUUGUGUUAUGC